GCGACCCACACUAGGGUUAAAAUAAGAGGAUUAUUGAAAAUUAUCUUAAACAACACCCUAGGUAUUUUGUUAAUUAUAACGACAGCUUUGAGGGGUGCAUUCCGAGUCAUGGCAUAAUUUGCGCAAUCUGAUAAGCCUUCAGUCUGUUCUACUGGGGACAGGCUUUUUUAACUGCCGGUAUAUGAUUAUAUUUACACGAUCUGUAGCAUAAAUUCUCAUUCUAGGCAUCUUAACUUUAGGUGCAUGGAAGCAAGGAGCAGGAACUAGAGCCGAUCAAUUUCAAAACCCAUGCCAAUCCAUCAAAUACCAAAGUUCCAGAAAUAAACCCAUAUUUGGACAACGUGAAUUAUAAUGAGUAACUGUAAUGAAUGCCAGCCUUCUUUACAUAAGUAAGGAGGUGACAAACCAAGCAUCGUUAGUAUUUAUGACUCAACUUAGGUGCAUUUUUUAUCUAAUAAAAUGUAUUUGAUUUACUAGGUCGAUUCAAAUAAAUCACAAUUUAAAUAGCAUAGGAAGAUGAAGGUUAGAGCGCAUUUCUGUACCUUUGAGCAAAGGGGCAGACCUAGGGCUGCUGAAAUGCCAGGGGUUACGGACACCAGGGGAGACUUUGCCUCGAUUUAUCCCCAGUCAGCAAGCUUUUAUACACGGCAGUGGACUUCUCCGAUUAUAAAGCUAAACCAGUGCAUAAACGGUUGCAGGACCAAGAUUCCUAACAGCAUUUUCCCGGCUGGCCGGCACCAAAACCUUAGUGUUCCCACCUUUUGGGUUUUUUUUUUUUUACAAUCUUCCAUCAUCUUUGUUCCCGUGACGCUUCAGCAACGGAGAGGUCUGGCUGCGCAGGGGGGGCUGGAGGCAGCACCAGAGGGGCUGUUUCCCUACUUAUUGCAACGCAAAUUCAGCGACACCGAGGGAAAUGCCCCAACAGACCUGCGCUUUGGGGCACCAGGAUCCCCUUCCCCUUGAGGAAUUCUCCGAAGCAAGGAAUGAACCGGCAUGUGAGAGAAGUUUCUCUCGCAUCUUGCCCCAAGCAAAAAUCCAGGCUGGAUGAAAUCAGCAGAAAGAUGAUACUAGUAGAAGAAUAACACCCUGUGGGGGAUGUAAAACCUCAGUCAAGCUCCACAUGGAAAAGACUUGCUGCUAGUGCGUGCAGUCAGCCAGGUUUUUCUGUGCCAAGGGCACAGUGACAAGGGGCGAUUCCAUUUCUGCUUUGUGGAUUUCAGUCAUUAAAGUCUAGAGGAGCAUGAACCAAAGUGCUUAUGCAUAACUUAAGAAAGGCAUUCCUUCUUCGAGCUUCUACCUGGCAUGGCAAGCGACUGACCUCACAGAGUGCAUCACUUUCUCAAAAAGUAUAUUCAGUCUUUUUGAUGUGUAUGUCAACUGUUUUUCUUUACUCCUGAAGUUACCGUACAAUUGUAUUAAGUUUAGACCUUUCUACGUGGCAUCUGACUUCAACACAGUAAAGCCAUGAAGCGACUGACUCCAAAGAGACCUGGACCGCUGCCCUCUGCUGAGAAGGCACAAGCAAGAAUACCAUCAUCGAUUGUCGAGGCUUCCCAACCAAUUUGCCUCCGGGUUAUUGGCCAGACACUUCAUUGGUAGGUCUCAGUGAAGCGGGAAGUGUAAGAAUUGCCUGUUUGAAACAGAAAUGUCUCUGUGAAACUGCUAACGACUGCCUGAAUCGUUUGUGACGGUGGAUUGUCAGGAGUAAAUCCUGGGAAUUCACUGCAUUUCCACGUGCUCCCCAGAAUCCACAGAGCUGCUGCGGCUCCUCACGGUGGAGCAACUGAUGCCCUUUGCGUGUUUGUUCUCUCUGUGCUGUCAAACAGGAUGUGCAUGGAACCUCAUCACGAUGUUUUGGCAGACUCUGCCAGCCGUCAGACACCCUGUUUAUCACCAGCAUCACUGAACUUGUCGGGCUUUCAAGGAUCCAAAAGCCGUUGGCCUCAUAUGUGCGUUAUAAAGAAUAAACCUGCCCGCUACCUCACUGAGUGCCCGAACCAGCGCCUCGGGUGCAAGGAGGGCGGCAAGGAUGCGCUACCACCCCCAUGAGAAGGGAGGCACGCCCUUGGGCCAUUCCGCACAUCCCAGACAAAAACAUCCUGGAAACCUAAAGUCUUGAUUCCCGAGGCUGAGCUUGGGAGGGUGGCAUUAGCUGCUUUUCUUGUCGCAUCGCCUACAUGUGGGAGAUGCCCUCAGGAUGGGUCCCCACAGCGUGGUGAGGUCCCUCAAGGCACGGAGCUGUCGGAGCUGUUGGAGCAAAGGAGAAAGCAUUCCAGGCUCCCUCUGCAUGGCUGGGCAACUCACAGGGGGGCUGCAAAGUGACAAAGCCCACCGUGCGCGGGGAGAACCCAGGAGGGGGAUGAUGUCCUGCGGUGGGCUUUGAAGCGAUGAGACAACAUUCGCACCAGUGACCCCGUGGGUCAACAGUUCAGCUCACACUCAGCCCAGCAGGGUCACAGCUCAGUGUUGGGUUCAAAGUGAUGUGACAGUGUUCGCAUCGGUGACCUUGCGGGGCAGCAGCUCAGCUCACGCUCAGGGGUGGGUUUUGAAGCAAUGCGACAGCGCUCACACGUGUGACCCAUAGAGUAGUCCACACCCAGUGGUGGGUUUGAAGGAAUGUGCUUCCACGUGUGGCCUGUGGCUCAGCCCACAUGCAGCCCCCCGAGGUCACAGCUCAGUGGUGGGUUUUAAAGUGGGGUUUUGAAGUGAUGGGAUAAGCCCUCACACAUGUGACCUGUGGGGCAGUGGCUAAGCUCAUGCUCAGCCCGGCAGAGUCACAGCUCAGCGUUGGGUUCAAAACAAUGUGGCAGUGUUUGCACUGGUGACACCGCGAGGCAGUGGCUCAGCCCACACCCAGCGGUGGGUUCGAAGUGAUGGGACAGCCCUCACACGUGUGA